rnacentral:rRNA from 1 species
UACGGAGGGUGCAAGCGUUAAUCGGAAUUACUGGGCGUAAAGCGCACGUAGGUGGCGUGGUUAGUCAGAUGUGAAAGCCCCGGGCUUAACCCGGGAACUGCAUUUGAUACUGCCACGCUGGAGUAUGGUAGAGGAUAGUGGAAUUCCAGGUGUAGCGGUGAAAUGCGUAGAUAUCUGGAGGAACAUCAGUGGCGAAGGCGGCUAUCUGGACCAAUACUGACACUGAGGUGCGAAAGCGUGGGUAGCAAACAGG